GUAUUAAAUCGCAAGUCAGCGUAGCUGGCAACACUUUCGAAUUGCGGGAACUCCCUAAAGCCCUCUCUACCAAACUGACAAGGAAACUUGGUCAGCGGCCUGUGCUAACCACACAGGGUACGGUAAUAACGAGUUUGGGAUAAGCUGAAAAGCAUCAAUGGGUGAUCCGCAGCCAAGUCCCUAAAGCAGCUACUGCCAUGGGAAAGGUCCACAGACUAAGUGGAAGUGGGUUGAACCUUUACCGGUUCAGCUUAAGAUAUAGUCGGGCUCCGUAGGAAACUACAGAGGAGUUACUUUCCGCAUGUAAACCGUUCCGUAGGUGAACCUGCGGAAGGAUCAUUAUGAUAAACAUUCUGUUGCCUCGUGCAAUGGUUAAACCCUUUGUGAACCAAACAUUUAUUAGCUUCGGUAGCUUGCUGCAGGACUUCUGGUUCUGUUGUCUGUUAGCCUGCCGGCAGCACCCAAUAAACUUGUUAUUUUAAAUUUUAGUCUGAACAUAAAUUUUCGAAUGAAAAUCAAAACUUUCAACAACGGAUCUCUUGGUUCUCGCAUCGAUGAAGAACGCAGCGAAACGCGAUAGUUAAUGUGAAUUGCAGAAUUCAGUGAAUCAUCGAGUCUUUGAACGCACAUUGCGCCCUUUGGGUAUUCCGAAGGGCAUGUCUGUUUGAGCGUCAUUACAACACCUCGUAACCAAUUAGUUUUGUGAACGGUUUUGAGCUCUGGCUGUCAAAAAGCCUGGCUUUAAAGUUGAACGCUCUGCGGGUCACACUGCCAAACUAUACAUAGUAAAACUUAUUCUGUACUGUUAGAAAGUGAUGGCUUCGCCUGAACAACAAACCCAUUUUUAAGGUUUGACCUCAGAUCAGACAAGGAUACCCGCUGAACUUAAGCAUAUCAAUAAGCGGAGGAAAAGAAACCAACAGGGAUUGCCUCAGUAACGGCGAGUGAAGCGGCAACAGCUCAAAUUUGAAAUCUCAGGUAUUCUACUUGCGAGUUGUAAUUUGAAGAGGAUGUUUCGGUUGUGACCUUGGCCUAAGUUCCUUGGAACAGGACGUCGUAGAGGGUGAGAAUCCCGUACACGGCUGUAGGUUUACUUCCAUGUGUAACUCCUUCGAAGAGUCGAGUUGUUUGGGAAUGCAGCUCAAAAUGGGUGGUAAAUUUCAUCUAAAGCUAAAUACUGGCGAGAGACCGAUAGCGCACAAGUAGAGUGAUCGAAAGAUGAAAAGCACUUUGAAAAGAGAGUUAAACAGUACGUGAAAUUGUUGAAAGGGAAGCGUUUGCAAUCAGACUUGCUUUCGGUUGAUCAACGUUCCUUUUGGUUCGUGCACUCUGCCGUUCGCAGGCCAGCAUCGGUUAGGACGGUGGGACAAAGAYUCAAGGAAUGUGGCUUUC
rnacentral:rRNA from 1 species